GAUGAACGCUAGCUACAGGCUUAACACAUGCAAGUCGCGGGGCAGCAUGGGGGUUGCUUGCAAUCCCCGAUGGCGACCGGCGCACGGGUGAGUAACGCGUAUCCAACCUGCCCUUCACCACGGGAUAACCCGGCGAAAGUCGGACUAAUACCGUAUGUUGUCCAUUGACGGCAUCCGAUUUGGACGAAAGGCUUGGCGGUGAGGGAUGGGGAUGCGUCCGAUUAGCCAGACGGCGGGGUAACGGCCCACCGUGGCUACGAUCGGUAGGGGUUCUGAGAGGAAGGUCCCCCACACUGGAACUGAGACACGGUCCAGACUCCUACGGGAGGCAGCAGUGAGGAAUAUUGGUCAAUGGGCGUAAGCCUGAACCAGCCAAGUAGCGUGCAGGAUGACGGCCCUAGGGGUUGUAAACUGCUUUUAUGCGGGGAUAAAGUGGCCCACGUGUGGGCUUUUGCAGGUACCGCAUGAAUAAGGACCGGCUAAUUCCGUG
rnacentral:rRNA from 1 species